rnacentral:tRNA from 1 species
GCGGCGAUAGUCUAGUGGUUUCCGCGGCAGCUUCAUGGCGUACACCGCCCCGCGGAAAUUGUAGGACCUUAGCCUUCCAAGCUAAUGACCCGGGUUCGAACAAGUGGCACGUGCGCGCGCCCCUUGAACCCCUACGACGUAGGCGUUUCAUGAAAAUCCCGGUCGCCGCACCA